UACGUAGGGUGCAAGCGUUAAUCGGAAUUACUGGGCGUAAAGCGUGCGCAGGCGGUUUUGUAAGACCGAUGUGAAAUCCCCGGGCUUAACCUGGGAACUGCAUUGGUGACUGCAAGGCUUGAGUGUGUCAGAGGGAGGUGGAAUUCCGCGUGUAGCAGUGAAAUGCGUAGAUAUGCGGAGGAACACCGAUGGCGAAGGCAGCCUCCUGGGAUAACACUGACGCUCAGGCACGAAAGCGUGGGGAGCAAACAGG
rnacentral:rRNA from 1 species